rnacentral:rRNA from 1 species
UACGAAGGGGGCUAGCGUUGCUCGGAAUCACUGGGCGUAAAGGGUGCGUAGGCGGGUCUUUAAGUCAGGGGGGAAAUCCUGGAGCUCAACUCCAGAACUGCCUUUGAUACUGAAGAUCUUGAGUUCGGGAGAGGUGAGUGGAACUGCGAGUGUAGAGGUGAAAUUCGUAGAUAUUCGCAAGAGCACCAGUGGCGAAGGCGGCUCACUGGCCCGAUACUGACGCUGAUGCACGAAAGCGUGGGGAGCAAACAGG